rnacentral:rRNA from 1 species
GACGAACGCUGGCGGCGUGCCUAAUACAUGCAAGUAGAACGCAGUUGCGAAAGGGUGAGUAACGCGUAGGUAACUGCCUCAUAGCGGGGGAUAACUAUUGGAAACGAUAGCUAAUACCGCAUACGGUGAGAUGGCACUGCGUAGUAUUAGCUAGUUGUUGAGGUAAAGGCUCACCAAGGCGACGAUACAUAGCCGACCGGAGAGGGUAAUCUGGCACACUGGAACUGAGACACGGACCAGACGCCGACGGGAGGAAGCAGUAGGGAAUCUACGGCAAGUGACGGAAGUCUGACCGAGCAACGCCGCGUGAGUGAAGAAGGUUUUCGGAUCGUAAAGCUCUGUUGUUGGAGAAGCGGUAACUAACCGGAAAUGGACGGCUAACUACGUGCCAGAAGCCGCGGUAAAUC